rnacentral:rRNA from 1 species
UACGGAGGGUGCAAGCGUUAAUCGGAAUUACUGGGCGUAAAGCGCGCGUAGGCGGUUUUUUAAGUCGGAUGUGAAAGCCCCGGGCUCAACCUGGGAACUGCAUCCGNUACUGGAAGACUAGAAUGCGGGAGAGGGAGGUAGAAUUCCAUGUGUAGCAGUGAAAUGCGUAGAUAUAUGGAGGAAUACCAGUGGCGAAGGCGGCCUCCUGGCUCGACAUUGACGCUGAGGUGCGAAAGCGUGGGGAGCAAACGGG